ACAAAAAGGCUACCAACCAAAUGGGACAUAUUUGCAAACAGUAGCUUCAGUCAAGGGGUUAAUAUCCAAAAAAAUAUACAGAACUCAUACAACUCAAUACCAAACAAACAACCCAGUUAGAAAACAGGCAGAGUACCUCUCGCAAGAAGACAUACAAAGGGCCAUCAGAUAUGUGAAGAGAUGUUCAACUUCACUAGCCAUUAGGAAAAUGCAAAUCAAAACUAUGAGAUACCACCUCACACCUAGAUCAAUAAUAACAAGGG